rnacentral:lncRNA from 1 species
AACACUCGGCACCCAGAACUUACACAAACUGCAAACUGCAAACUGCAAAACCCUAAAUAUAGAGCUUCCAAACUUCCCAAUUGGUUCAUGAAAGUUGAGUGCUAAAUUUAAACGCCAACUUGUACGUAGGCUUUGGCAUAAGGUAGCCAACAACGGUUCCUCAACGUUUAUUAUUGUUCCUCAACGUAAGAACUUGUUUGUAUUUAUGAAUUAAAUUUAUGAAUAUUGAGUUGUUUCGUUUUAAUUGUUGAGCUGAACCAUGAGCAUUUGUAUCUAAAUUUGCUAAACCGUGAGCAUUUGUAUCUAAAUUAUUGUGUUUUUUUUGUUUCAGUUUGCUGAACUGUGAUAAUUAAUUAAUAAUAAUUAAUUUACUGAACCAUGAUAAUUAAUUAAUAAUAUUCAGUUGAUAUUUUAAUUUGUUUCUAAACUUAAUGAAUUAGGGAUAAGUAAUUAAUGAUAUUCAGUAAUUAAUUAAUAAUAAUUAAUUUACUGAACCAUGAUAAUUAAUUAAUAAUAUUCAGUUUAUAUUUUAAUUUGUUUCUAAAAUUAAUGAAUUAGGGAUAAGCAAUUAAUAACAUUCAGUUUAUAAUUUUAUUUGUUUCUAAACUUAUUGAAUUUGAGAUAAUUAAUUAUAAUAUUCUAAAUUAUUAUAAUUUGCAGCAAUAAUGGAUGAGGUUGAUGAAGUGGAGGAAUUGCAAGAUUUACAGGAGGCUAAUUUUGAAGGAAAUAAUGAAAACUUUGUGGAAAAAGUUGAUGAGCCUAGGGUUGGGAUGUGUUUUGAUAGUCCAGAUAAAAUGUUUGAAUAUUACAAAGCUUAUGGCCA